rnacentral:rRNA from 1 species
UACGAAGGGGGCUAGCGUUGUUCGGAAUUACUGGGCGUAAAGCGCGCGCAGGCGGUCUUCCAAGUCAGUGGUGAAAGCCCGGAGCUCAACUCCGGAACUGCCAUUGAAACUGUGAGACUGGAGUACGAGAGAGGUGAGUGGAAUUCCCAGUGUAGAGGUGAAAUUCGUAGAUAUUGGGAAGAACACCGGUGGCGAAGGCGGCUCACUGGCUCGUAACUGACGCUCAGGCGCGGACAGCGUGGGGAUCAAACAGG